rnacentral:rRNA from 2 species
ACGACUCUCGACAACGGAUAUCUCGGCUCUCGCAUCGAUGAAGAACGUAGCGAAAUGCGAUACUUGGUGUGAAUUGCAGAAUCCCGUGAACCAUCGAGUCUUUGAACGCAAGUUGCGCCCGAAGCCAUUAGGUUGAGGGCACGUCUGCCUGGGUGUCA